AACGGGGGGUACAAGUGUUAUUCGUCUUGACUGGGCGUAAAGCGCAUGUAGACAUGUAUAUUAAACACUUUGUAAAAUCGUGUAUUGUUUAUAUCUUUGCAAUUUGUACUAAUAUCCUAUUUAGAGUAUAUUUUCAGGUUUGUAGAAUUUUUUAAAAAGGGCUAAAAUCCAAUAUUUAUGACUAAAAGAAUUCCAAAGAAAGAGCGAAGGCAACAAGCUAGAAUAUACUGACGUUGAGAUGCGAAAGCAAGGGUAGCCAAUAGG
rnacentral:rRNA from 1 species